rnacentral:misc_RNA from 1 species
AACUUGGAUAUCAAACCCUUGUUCUCAGGUCUGUCUCCAAAGUCAUAAAAAUAAUUGCAUUUUACUAGACAGUAUCAUACACAACACAAGGAGGCAGUUGAUCUCACAUGAGGAUGAGAGAUACAUGAAACCAGGCGAGCAGCGGAGAAUGAAGAACUAGACGUAUAUUUCUGUUUCUCCAUAAUCAGUAGCAGCAUACUCAUUGAAUGAAAGACAAUACCACCCUUUCAUAACUAGGGUUGUUGACUUCAUAUACUAGAUUUCACUUUGCAAAUGGAAGUACA